AGUGAACGCUGGCGGCAGGCCUAACACAUGCAAGUCGAACGGUAACACAGUAAGUGUUUCUUCUUACGGGUGGCGAGUCGCGGACGUGAGAGGUAUACAUUCGACUCCACUCUUUCGGGGGGGAUCUCGUAGCGACAUUUACUACUAUACCCUAUCCGCGCAACCGGCGACAGCAGCGGAUCUUCGCUUCUUGCACGAUUGAGUUCGCCGAUGUCCGACUAGCUAGUUGGCGGGGUAAUCACCCACCAAGGCGACGAUCUGUAGCUGGUCAGAGAGGAUGAUCGGCCACCCUGGAACUGAGACACGGUCCAGACUCCUACGGGAGGCAGCAGAGGGGAAUAGUGGACAAUGGGCGCAAGCCUGAUGCAGCCAUGCAGCGUGUGUGAAGAAGGCCUUCGGGUUGUAAAGACCUUUUGCUGGGAAUGAAACGCAGUAAGUUAAUACCCCGCUGUAGUGACGGUACCCGAAGAAUAAGCACCGGCUAACUACGUG
rnacentral:rRNA from 1 species